GCAGCUGUGGCCUACUGGUUAGCGCUUUGGACUUGUAACUGGAGAGUUGCCGGUUCGAACCCGACCAGUAGGCA
rnacentral:tRNA from 1 species